rnacentral:rRNA from 1 species
AUUGAACGCUGGCGGCAGGCUUAACACAUGCAAGUCGAACGAGGGGCGGACGGGUGAGUAAUGUCUGGGAAACUGCCUGAUGGAGGGGGAUAACUACUGGAAACGGUAGCUAAUACCGCAUACCAUCAGAUGUGCCCAGAUGGGAUUAGCUAGUUGUGGGGGUAAGGGCUCACCUAGGCGACGAUCCCUAGCUGGUAUGAGAGGAUGACCAGCCACACGUGAACUGAGACACGGUCCAGACUCCUACGGGAGGCAGAAGUGGGGAAUAUUGCACAAUGGGCGCAAGCCUGAUGCAGCCAUGCCGCGUGUGGGAAGAAGGCCUUCGUGUUGUAAAGUACUUUCAGCGAGGAGGCGUUACCCGCAGAAGAAGCACCGGCUAACUCCGGGCCAGCCGCCGCGGUAAUUC